UGAGGGGUUUGGAUUCAUUGACUGAAUUGCAGAACUCCGUGAACCGAUGGCCUCCUGAACGCGCAUUGCGCUCUCGGGAUUUCCUGAGAGCAGGUCUGCUUCAGUGCUUAGCAUUAUCUACCUGUGCUUGCAAGCAGCAUGUCUACACUGCUGCUUUGCUUUCCAACAAGUCAUCGAUCGCGUUUGUGUUCGUAAAUGGCUUGUUUGCUGCCUGGCCCAUGCGCCAAGCUUGAGCGUACUGUUGUUCCAAGCUUAGCUUGCAUCGUACAGCUCAAGCGCGCAGCUGUUGGGAUGCUGAUGCAUGCCCUUAGCUUGAAGUCAGACAAGAGAACCCGCUGAACUUAAGCUAUGGAUCCCACCCA
rnacentral:rRNA from 1 species